CGCAAUGGCUCACUUAAAUCAGUUAUCGUUUAUUUGAUAGUACCUUACUACUUGGAUAACCGUGGUAAUUCUAGAGCUAAUACAUGCUAAAAAUCCCGACCUCUGGAAGGGAUGUAUUUAUUAGAUAAAAAACCAAUGCCUUCGGGCUUCUUGGUGAUUCAUGAUAACUUUACGAAUCGUAUGGCCUUGUGCCGGCGAUGGUUCAUUCAAAUUUCUGCCCUAUCAACUUUCGAUGGUAGGAUAGUGGCCUACCAUGGUUUCAACGGGUAACGGGGAAUUAGGGUUCGAUUCCGGAGAGGGAGCCUGAGAAACGGCUACCACAUCCAAGGAAGGCAGCAGGCGCGCAAAUUACCCAAUCCCGACACGGGGAGGUAGUGACAAUAAAUACUGAUACAGGGCCCUUUCGGGUCUUGUAAUUGGAAUGAGUACAAUUUAAACCCUUUAACGAGGAACAAUUGGAGGGCAAGUCUGGUGCCAGCAGCCGCGGUAAUUCCAGCUCCAAUAGCGUAUAUUAAAGUUGUUGCAGUUAAAAAGCUCGUAGUUGAACUUUGGGUCUGGGUGACUGGUCUGCGUCUACCGCAUGUACUGGAAACCCGGAUCUUUCCUUCUGGAGAACCGCAUGCACUUUACUGGGUGUGCCGGGGAACCAGGACUUUUACUUUGAAAAAAUUAGAGUGUUCAAAGCAGGCAUUUGCUCGAAUACAUUAGCAUGGAAUAAUAAAAUAGGACGUGCGGUUCUAUUUUGUUGGUUUCUAGGACCGCCGUAAUGAUUAAUAGGGAUAGUCGGGGGCAUCCGUAUUCGAUUGUCAGAGGUGAAAUUCUUGGAUUUUUCGAAGACGAACUACUGCGAAAGCAUUUGCCAAGGAUGUUUUCAUUAAUCAGGAACGAAAGUUGAGGGAUCGAAGACGAUCAGAUACCGUCGUAGUCUCAACCAUAAACUAUGCCGACUAGGGAUUGGGCGACUGUGUUAUUUGAGUUGCUCAGCACCUUACGAGAAAUUAAAGUUUUUGGGUUCUGGGGGGAGUAUGGUCGCAAGGCUGAAACUUAAAGGAAUUGACGGAAGGGCACCACCAGGAGUGGAGCCUGCGGCUUAAUUUGACUCAACACGGGGAAACUCACCAGGUCCAGACACAUUAAGGAUUGACAGAUUGAGAGCUCUUUCUUGAUCAUGUGGGUGGUGGUGCAUGGCCGUUCUUAGUUGGUGGAGUGAUUUGUCUGCUUAAUUGCGAUAACGAACGAGACCUUAACCUGCUAAAUAGCUGGGCUCGCUUUCGCGGGUCUUUGGC
rnacentral:rRNA from 1 species